GCACAGAUGGGGACAGACAGACAGACAUGGAGGGGGACAGAGAGGCACAGACAGAUGGGGACAGAUGGACACAGAUGGGGACAGACAGACGGACACGGAUGGGGACAGACGGACACAGACAGAUGGGGACAGACGGACACAGACAGAUGGGGACAGACAGACGGACACAGAUGGGGACAGACAGACGGAUAUGGGGACAGACAGACGGACGUGGAUGGGGACAGACGGACACAGAUGGGGACAGACAGACGGACACAGAUGGGGACAGACAGACAGACAUGGGGACAGACAGACAGACAUGGGGACAGACGGACAGAUGGGGCCGGAUGGGGAUAAGGACAGACAGACGGACGUGGAGGGGGACAGACGGACAGACGGGGACAGGAACAGAUGGGGACAGACGGACAGAUGGGGCCAGAUGGGGAUAAGGACAGACAGACAGACAGACCGGGACAGACAGACAGACGUGGAGGGGGACAGACGGACAAACGGGGAGGGGGACAGAUGGGGACAGACGGACAGAUGGCGAUAAGGACAGACAGACGGACGUGGAGGAGGACAGACGGACACAGAUAGGGACAGAUGGACAUAUGGGGCCAGAUGGGGAUAAGGACAGACAGACAGACAACAGACAGACAGACGGACGUGCAGCGGGACAGACGGACAGACGGGGACCGGGACAGAUGGGGACAGACGGACAGACGGCGAUAAGGACAGACAGAUGGACAGGGAUGGGGACAGACAGACAGACGUGGAUGGGGACAGACGGCAUAGGGACAUACGGGGCCAGAUGGGGAUAAGGACAGACGGACGGACACGGAUGGGGACAGACGGACAGACGGGGACAGGGACAGAUGGGGACAGACGGACAGAUGGGGACAGAUGGGGAUAAGGACAGACAGACGGACAUGGAUGGGGACAGACGACAGUGGGGACAGAUGGGGAUAAGGACAGACAGACAGACAUGGAGGGGGACAGACGGACAGACGGGGACAGAUGGGGACAGAUGGGGAUAAGGACAGACAGACAGACAGACCGGGACAGACAGACGGACGUGGAGGGGGACAGACGGACAUAGGGAGAAGGGGACACAGAUGGGGACGGACAGACAGACAGUGAUAAGGACAGAUGGACAUGGAUGGGGACAGACAGACACAGAUGGGGACAGACAGACGGACAGAUGGGGACAGACGGACAGACGGACACGGAUGGGGACAGACAGACAGACAUGGAUGGGGACAGACGGACACAGACAGAUGGGGACAGACAGACAGACACAGAGGGGGACAGACAGACA
ensembl:lncRNA